rnacentral:rRNA from 1 species
GAUGAACGCUGGCGGCGUGCCUAAUACAUGCAAGUCGAGCGAACAGACGAGGAGCUUGCUCCUCUGACGUUAGCGGCGGACGGGUGAGUAACACGUGGAUAACCUACCUAUAAGACUGGGAUAACUUCGGGAAACCGGAGCUAAUACCGGAUAAUAUAUUGAACCGCAUGGUUCAAUAGUGAAAGACGGUUUUGCUGUCACUUAUAGAUGGAUCCGCGCCGCAUUAGCUAGUUGGUAAGGUAACGGCUUACCAAGGCUACGAUGCGUAGCCGACCUGAGAGGGUGAUCGGCCACACUGGAACUGAGACACGGUCCAGACUCCUACGGGAGGCAGCAGUAGGGAAUCUUCCGCAAUGGGCGGAAGCCUGACGGAGCAGCGCCGCGUGAGUGAUGAAGGUCUUCGGAUCGUAAAACUCUGUUAUUAGGGAAGAACAAAUGUGUAAGUAACUAUGCACGUCUUGACGGUACCUAAUCAGAAAGCCACGGCUAACUACGUG